UACGGAGGGUGCGAGCGUUGUCCGGAAUCACUGGGCGUAAAGGGCGCGUAGGUGGCCUGUGGAAGUCUGCGGUGAAAGCCCGGCGCUCAACGCCGGGUCGGCCGUGGAUACUCUCGGGCUUGAGCUUACUAGAGGCAGAUGGAAUUCCGGGUGUAGCGGUGGAAUGCGUAGAGAUCCGGAAGAACACCGGUGGCGAAGGCGGUCUGCUGGGCAGUUGCUGACGCUGAUGCGCGACAGCGUGGGGAGCAAACAGG
rnacentral:rRNA from 1 species